AGUGGAUGGGGAGCAACCUAGUUGUGCGUGUGUAAAGGUAGUGCCAAGAAAAGCGAUGAUCAUGUUGAAAAUCAAUUCCCGGUACCCGAAACCGACACAGGUGGGCAAGUAGAGAAUACUAAGGGGCGCGAGGUAACUCUCUCCAAGGAACUCGGCAAAAUGACACCGUAACUUAGGGAGAAGGGGUGCCACCGAGAGGUGGUCGCAGUGAAGAGGCCCAGGCGACUGUUUAGCAAAAACAUAGGUCUCUGCAAACUCGAAAGAGGAGGUAUAGGGGCUGACGCCUGCCCAGUGCCGGAAGGUUAAAGAAGUUGGUCAGUUUUAGGAUGAAGCUAGCGACUGAAGCCCCGGUGAACGGCGGCCGUAACUAUAACGGUCCUAAGGUAGCGAAAUUCCUUGUCGGGUAAGUUCCGACCCGCACGAAAGGCGUAACGAUCUGGGCGCUGUCUCGGAGAGAGGCUCGGCGAAAUAGGAUUGUCUGUGAAGGUACGGACUACCUGCAUUUGGACAGAAAGACCCUAUGAAGCUUUACUAUAGCUUGGAAUUGUGUUCGGGCUUCCUGUGCGCAGGAUAGGUGGGAGGCGAAGAAGGUAUUCUUGUGGGGAUACUGGAGCCAACGGUGAGAUACCACUCUCAGGAGGCGAGAAUUCUAACUUAAUUAAGGACAGUUUCAGGUGGGUAGUUUGACUGGGGCGGUCGCCUCCAAAAAGGUAACGGAGGCGUACAAAGGUUCCCUCAGACUGGUUGGAAAUCAGUCGCAGAGUGCAAAGGCAGAAGGGAGCUUGACUGCGAGAAGUACAGUUCGAGCAGGGUGGAAACACGGUCUUAGUGAUCCGACGGUGCUGUGUGGAAGGGCCGUCGCUCAACGGAUAAAAGUUACUCUAGGAUAACAGGCUGAUCUCCCCCAAGAGUUCACAUCGACGGGGAUGUUUGGCACCUCGAUGUCGGCUCAUCGCAACCUGGGGCGGAAGUACGUCCCAAGGGUUGGGCUGUUCGCCCAUUAAAGCGGUACGUGAGCUGGGUUCAGAACGUCGUGAGACAGUUCGGUCCAUAUCCGAUGUAGGCGUGAGAAUAUUGAGAGGAGCCUUCCUUAGUACGAGAGGACCGGGAAGGACGCACCGCUGGUGUACCUGUUAUGAUGCCAAUUGUAAACGCAGGGUAGCCAAGUGCGGAGAGGAUAACCGCUGAAAGCAUCUAAGUGGGAAGCCCACCUCAAGAUGAGUAUUCUGGUGUAAGGUCACGGGAAGACGACCCGUAAAUAGGCACGAGGUGGAAGUGCAGAGAUGUAUGAAGCCGAAGUGUACUAAUAGACCGUCGGCUUGACC
rnacentral:rRNA from 1 species